rnacentral:tRNA from 1 species
AUUUAUAUAAUAUAUAAUAUUAUAUUUGACUUCCAAUCAAAAAACCUGAUAUUUCAGUAUAAAUA